rnacentral:rRNA from 1 species
CUACGGGUUGCACCAGUGAGGAAUAUUGCGCAAUGGGGGAAACCCUGACGCAGCGACGCCGCGUGGAUGAUGAAGGCCUUAGGGUCGUAAAAUCCUGUCAGGUGGGAAGAAGUGGAUAUAGAUUAAUACUCUAUUUCUUUGACGGUACCACCAAAGGAAGCACCGGCUAACUCCGUGCCAGCAGCCGCGGUAAUACGGGGGGUGCAAACGUUGUUCGGAAUUACUGGGCGUAAAGCGCGCGUAGGCGGUUUGUUAAGUCAGAUGUGAAAGUCCAUGGCUAAACUACGGAAGUGCAUUUGAAACUGGCAGACUUGAGUACUGGAGGGGGUGAUGGAAUUCCCGGUGUAGAGGUGAAAUUCGUAGAUAUCGGGAGGAAUACCGGUGGCGAAGGCGAUCACCUGGCCAGAUACUGACGCUGAGGUGCGAAAGCGUGGGGAGCAAACAGGAUUAGAUCCCUUGUAGUC